rnacentral:rRNA from 1 species
GACGAACGCUGGCGGCGUGCUUAACACAUGCAAGUCGAACGGAAAGGCCCUGCUUUUGUGGGGUGCUCGAGUGGCGAACGGGUGAGUAACACGUGAGUAACCUGCCCUUGACUUUGGGAUAACUUCAGGAAACUGGGGCUAAUAUCGGAUAGGAGCUCCUGCUGCAUGGUGGGGGUUGGAAAGAUUCGGCGGUUGGGGAUGGACUCGCGGCUUAUCAGCUUGUUGGUGGGGUAGUGGCUUACCAAGGCUUUGACGGGUAGCCGGCCUGAGAGGGUGGCCGGCCACAAUGCGACUAAGGUACGGCCCAGACUCCUACGGGAGGCAGCAGUGGGGAAUAUUGCACAAUGGGGGGAAGCCUGAGGCAGCAACGCCGCGUGCGGGAUAACGGCCUUCGAGGGAUAAACCGCUUUCGCCUGUGACAAAGCGUGAGUGACGGUAAUGGGUAAAGAAGCACCGGCUAACUACGUG